AAGCUGGGACCGAAAAAAGGGAGAAAAAUUGGGGAAAAAGGGAAGAAAAAAAAAGAAAGAAGAAAGGAAAGAAGAAAAGUGAAGAAGAAGAAAAGAGGUAAGGCUAAUCUAUUCAAGCUUGGGUUGAAUUUUUCCAUUUGUUUCAAGUGAUAAAGUAUUAAUUAUGUUAAAAUUCUAGGGUUCUAUUUUGGCUCGAAAUUUUCAGAUUUUUUUGAGAUGAAUACUAUUUGGAGCUCAAGUUAUUGUUUCUUGAAUUUCUAUCUACAUUAAGGCGGUAACGAGGAGAUUGGAAGAGCCUAUCGACCAUCUUAGGUUUAUCUUGUAUUAUCAAUUAUCAACGAAUUCUUCAGGAUCAUUUCUACAUUCUCUAAAAAUUGCCACAA